rnacentral:misc_RNA from 1 species
AAGUCGUAACAAGGUUUCUGUAGGUGAACCUGCAGAAGGAUCAUUCAUGAAGCCACCUGGAGAGGCUGUCUGGCAACAGAUGGUCUUGAAGGGAGCAAAUAUACACUGUGAACCUUAAAACACGUUGGUGUCCAUGUAGUGUUGGUGCAGGCUCUGCUUGCAACUUGUGCCAACCAAAAGCUGGAUGCUGGGGGCUAUUGGUGUCCAUGUAGUGUUGGUACUUGUACCAACCAAAAGCUGGAUGCUAGGGGCAUUGGUGUCCAUGUAGUGUUGGUACUUGUGCCAACCAAAAGCUGGAUGCUAGGGGCUUAAAACACUAUUUCAUUAUUGCCUAAAAACCUUUAAUAUACAACCUUUAACAAUGGAUCUCUUGGCUCCU